ACUAGUGUCCAGUCAAUGGAAAAUGCUUUUCUUGCUUUGCCUAGACUUUGUGACAAUUAACUUAUAGUGCGAUCAUUGAUCAUUGAGCUUCUGACACCCUAUUCCAUAAGAUUAUGUUGUAAUGUUUGCUGGAUCAUUGAGUAGUUAAUAUUGAUUCUGAGUUUGUUGGAUCAUUAACUUAUGUGUGUGCUUUGGUUAUCUGAGAGACACUCACUAUCCUGUGUUUCAUAUUCGUGGCGGAGCGAUGAACGAUUAUGUUUCGUGUCCCUGUGUUUCGUGUUCGCCCGUCUGGUUUUGGAUUUGGAUUGCAGAGACGGGGAGAGGCCAAAGCAAGGUCAGUUUAUCAUGUUCGCUCAGAUCGGUUCCUCGGUUCCGUCGCUGCGUUGUUCGUCGGCGAUUUCCAGACCUCAAACGCAUGCGCCCUUGUGAUACUCUGGUUUGGCUCGCUGGUCGUUAUGGUUGUUUGUUACGGUUGUUCUUAUGUUCUUGAAUCACCCAUCUUAUAAGCAGAGAUGGGGUGAUACAUUAUGGUUGUUCUGAUGGUUGCUUAUUUAGUGUUCUUUCCAAUUGGGUGGUUCUUGUCAUGCUUUGCUUAUGUUCCCAAUGUCUGUCUUUCCAUAUAUGGGGAUGCAUUAGGGUGCAAACCGUGUAGGCCAUGGUGUGUUUUUACUAGCUAUGGUGUGUUUUAUACUAUCUAAUGUGGAAGGUGGAAAUAUUGAUAUCACUUCUGUGUUAGUAUACUUGAUAUGGUGUGUUUUAUUCAAGUAAUUAACCACAUCUCUUACAAAUUUUCCUUGAGAUACAUGUUUAUAUGGCAGGAGUGAUUGUCUUGACGAAUAAUCAUUUAUGCUAACAGACCAGUACUUGAUCAUAGGUACAGACAUGUGGAUCUGGACAUUUCACAUUUGCUCUUUAUUGUAUUGCUAAGGACACUGAACGGUUUGUCUGGGCCACCGCACAGCCUGGCUAAUCAGGUUGUAGUGAUUAGGGAGAAGCUUGCAGAACUGUAUGAAUUUGAACAACAAUGGCCGAGGGCAGUACAAAUGCUUAGUGGUAUUGACUUGGACUCAGGAAUAAGGAUGCUUGAUGACAAACAAAUUAUCCAAGUGCGUCCAGAUUGCAUGACUCUAUUUGGAGGAUGAUGAUGCAGUGAAUGUUGAAGCUUUUAUCAACAAAGCCUCAUUUUUUGUCACAAACAGCAACCAUGA